UUUCCCAGCAGACACCUAAGGCUGGAAAACUCAGCAGGCUGUGGGCGCCAGCAACCAGAGCAGGUGGGCCCUGCCCCACCAAGACAUACAUCUUUGGGCAUCAUCAGACAAUCAGAAAGCAGAAUGAAGCAAUGACUGGGCACAUCAAUGUGGAUUCCCCAAGAACUUCAGCGUGUUCUCUGCACGGCCCAAAUUGUUUAUAUGAUCCUGGCAACGGGACAGGCAAAGCCGAAUGUGGACCCCACCUGAGCACCCGUGGGGAAUGUGUCCAUUAUGGUCAGCUGCAGCACAGCCCCUCUCAACUGCUUCCUUCAAGCCCCCUCUGACUCUGGCUGCAUUUGAGAGAACCCGGACCGCUCUGAUCACUUUAAGUGUUCCCAUCUGUGUGGUCAAACCGGGAUGAAUUCUAACCAUAAAUGGCAACGUUCAGAAGGGGCCACAGGCAACACCAAAUGAUGAACAGCAGGGAAGGAACACGGCCAGCAGGGACUCUCUGGGCUGUUAGAUCAGGCAGGAGGACCCUGUUAGGAAACUCUAUGGUAACAGCCCCAGCCGUGACUCCCUCCUGGCUUCUUAGCCUGUGCUCUCUAGCCAAGGUGGUCUGUGAAGAGUCUCAACUGCUGAAGAGGAAGUCUCCAUUUUAGCCUCCUCAGAGUCAGUUAAAAAUUAAUGGAAAAGGAUUUUCUUUUCAAACUUAGGGCUGACUAAUGCUGGCAGGAAGUCGUUCCCAGGCUGAUGCAGGCAUGGCGUGCAGGACAUGUAGUGCAUACCACAGACCAUCGGUACCCACAGACUCGGUUAGCUUAAUAAAAACCAGGCACCAGAGAUAAGUAUUUAGAGAUUUUUUUAAGUUUUGAAUCUAUUCCUAGUGAGUUCCGUUUUGAGUUUAAGAUGGCUUUUUUUCUUCCUUUCUUCCUUCCUUUCUUCCUUUUUUUCUUUCUUUUUUUUUCUUUGCCACCAUGGCACUGAACAGUCAUGAUAUUGUCAUAAAAAAGAAGCCAAGAAGAAGUGUCACAAGAAGAAAAAAAAAUAUCAUCAGAUACAGAAGGAGCACUGGGAUUUUGUGGGGAGAAUGUACCUGACUCCUGGUGGGAUCACAAGGGUUUCUGGCAUCUGUAGUUAGAUGCCUGUGGAAUGUAGAUGGUUAGGCACACUAAUGGUCCCAGCCCAUCAUCCCUGACAUUGGGCUGUCAUAUCCUGGUGAUCUCCAUCACCGAGAAGCCUCAGUCAUCAGGCCCUUCUGAGAAUCAAGAUGGAGCCACCCCUACCUCCACACCCACAGACAGAAGAUCUCAACAUCUGGAAUCUAGUGUCCAACCCCAGUUCCAGCUGUGACUCCCUCCUGGUUGUAUGAGCCACAGUGAGAUGCCUUUCCACACUCAAGAGUAUCCAAAAAUCAACGACCCACAAAGCCAAGUACCAACGAGUCAUGGAGUAACAGGGACAUACAGGAGCUUGGAGAACUGUCAACUUUAUAAAAUUAUGUUUCUGCCUACCUGCUAACCCACCCACCCCUUCUACUUCCAAGUGUUUCCUUAAGAAAAUGAAAAAUGCCACUGACGGUUGAUGCAAGGACAUUCACAGCCACACCCAUCACCUUCAAGCAGGGGGUAGGACCGUAAGUCCUGCAUGUGAGCAACAGGAACCUGUUGAGUUGACACAGGUUUCCUACUUGCAGCACAGAGGGAGGAAGCCAGGCAGGGAAUAGAUAGGCAGGGGUCUAGUUCUGGGAGCAUCUGGAACUAGCAAGAUCAGUCUCACAGGCCAGGAGCUGGUGAGUGUUGCUGAGAAGGUACAGGGUGACCCUCCUAGCGAAGAAUCUCACCCAAGAGACAGAUUCCAUGACUUGACUGUGCUAUGCUCACAGUGUGUGUAUUUGUUUAAAGUCAUUAAAGUGCGCGAUCAAAAUGUA